rnacentral:lncRNA from 1 species
UCACUUUCUUGAUUCGUCUCCGGAGCAUUUGUCAAUCUUUGUAAAUCAUGCUUCAGCUCAUUAAUUCUGGUUUUUGCAUUAUAUAGCCUCUGUUUACUCCAAACUUCGAGUUUUUGUGCUACUAUCUGCAAUUUCUCCACCAUACACAAGUUUUGAGGUCCCAAUUCAGCCCAAGUAGUUCUAACGAGGUGCCCGCACUCCUCAUUUUCAGACCAAAAUGCCUCAUAUCUGAAAGCUCUCCUUUUCCUCUUCCUUCGUACAUUUAAAGAUACUAGUAGCGGGCUGUGGUCCGACCCG